CGGUGGGUGAUAGUAAUUGCAACCAUUCGAGAAUUUACCACUCGGACUCGAUGUAGGGAAUGUGAGAUAUCUUAUGCCAGUCUUCUCCUUCCCCCUCUCUAUAACGGUUUUCCAGAAGAGGACAUCUGUGAAUAAUCAAUUCCUGCAGCGUCGUCGUCCGAAGAAGGUAAUCCGGCAGCACCUUUAAUUUGGGGCAAUACCCAAUUUCCAAGGAAGAAAGACGUGGUAUGUCUGUUGUCUUGCGAUCUUCUAGAAUGGGCAGUUCUUCUAGAAGAUCACAAAAAUAAAUACGCAGUUCCUGCAGUGCCGUCGAUUGAAGAAGGUAAUCCGGCAGCGCCUUCAAUUUGGGGCAACCUCUAAUCCACAAGGAAGAAAGACGGGGCAUGAUGGAGAUGUUUUCCUUCCUCGUAAUCCUGUAAUUCCACUCUUCCAACUCUUCCAUUCCCCCAAUGUCGAGUGAUUUUAAUUUGGGAAAGGCAGUAACUGAUGAUGACGAUGAAGAUGAAGAUGGGUCAUCCUCACUGCUUUCUUCUAUUCCCAAAAACUCAUUACCCACUCUUUUUACACUUUUCAAAAUGUAUAGUUGGAGUUUUUCCAGAGGUAAUUUUCCCAAAGGAGGCAAAUGCUCACAGUUAAAACAAAACCAAAGAUUUAAUUCCCUUAGAUAGGUUAGUGAAGUCAACCAUUUGGGAAAAAUGUCGCCUCCGUAGAAACAAAUCUGUAAUUCCUCUACAUUCAAAUGCGGUUGUAAAGCUUCAAGAAGUUGUUUAUCUUUCUCAUUCUUCCUCCUCCCUUCUUCGCCUUCCCCAUCUACGACUCCAUCAAACACAAGAUGCAAACGAAGGAGGUUUUCCAUAUUGUGAAGUCCUAUUCUCUCAGCCUCAUCUAAAUGUGAUACAUUACUCAGCCCUUCUAUUCCACAUUUACGAAGGAGUUGAAGAUUUUUCAGAGAUUCAAGCCUACACGUGCUGCCGCCAUCAACACCUCCACCCACAACAAACUUUUCUAAUGUUCGAAGACUGGUUAAUUUGGAAAUCCCUAUUGGCAUGUACUUCAAUGAAUAAGUUUGACCAUUCAGUAAACUCCUCAUGUUCAUUAACUUCCCAAUCCCCGCUGGCAAUUCUCUAAGAUUUGGGCACCGCCUAAUAUCUAGCUUUCGUAAAUUAUAUAAUUCACACAAAGUCUCAGGCAGUCUCUCUAUACAUAAUUCAGAUAAAUUAAGAUAUUUUAAAUGUAUCAAUUUUCCAAUAUUUUCUGGAAUUUCUCUAAUGAAAUUUGGGCUAGGAUGAGAAAAUGAGGACAACUGUCUUAUAACUAAUGCCCUUAAACACGCCAAUUUACUAAAUAACCCCGGAAGGAUGCUACUACGAAGAGACGGACCUUUAUCAUAAAUUAAGAGGGUCCGCAAUCUAUUAAGUCCAUAAAUGGACAUAGGAAGUGGAGCGCCUCCUUCAAAAUUUAAUCCUAGGUGACAGACUUUGUCACCAAAAGAAUUUAUGACUGACUCUUUGUUACCAUCAAUUUCUAGCCACAAACAUUCUUUUCUACUUACAAAUUGGGCAAAAUCAUGUACUAUGUCAUGCAUUUUACACCUCAUAAACUCAUUAUCGCCACCGUAUGUUUCAAACUCUUGAAAGAAAGAGUGUGUUGCUAAGAUGUUGAAAUACUCUUCUCCAACCAUCUCCAUUUCUUCGUCUUCUUCUGCAUUAAGGUAACCUUGAGCCAUCCACAUAUCAAUCAAUUCCUUUUUAUGCAUAUAGUGGUCUUUUGGAAAGACAGCACAAUAUGAGAAACAUUGUUUUACCAUAGAAUUAGAGGGCAAAUCGUUAUAACUCAACAACAAAGGAGCCAAAAGACCUUUCCUAAUCUCUUCUACCUUCCACAUUUCACUCUCUAAAAUUCUUUGCCACUCUUUUACUGUACAUUUAGAGCGCAAGAGAUUCCCUAUUACCUUUACAGCAAGAGGCAGGCCUUUGCACUUGCGUGCAAUUUUUCGUCCGAUUGGUUCUAAUUUUUCACAAUCCUCGAAAGAGCGACCGAAAAAUGCCAACCGCUUGAACAACAACCAGCAUUCCUCUUCAGCUAGUUGUUCAAUGGAGAUAAUAUCUAACUCUAUUGUUCGCAUCAUACGUGCAACUGACUCAUUACGUGUGGUAACCACAAUUUUACUUCCAGGAAGACCAUUCUUUAGACAAAAGAAGAAUUGAUCCCAUAUAUUAUAAUUCCCAUCCCAUACAUCAUCUAAGACAAUAAAAAUUUUUUUUCCUUCAAUUGAUCUAUGGAUAUGGCUCAUAAGAGAUUGGAAUUCGCUUAAACCAGAAGCUUCUUUUGACUCGCCUAGUCCUUCAAUAAUUGCUUUGGCGACCCUCAUCUCAUCAAAAGUGUCUGAUACACACACCCAUAUAACUUUUUCAAAAUUUAUUUUCACCCCAUCAUUAUUAUAGGCUAGUUGUGCAAGAGUGGUUUUACCUAUACCCCCUAACCCAACCAGUGAGAUGAUAUGAGGAUGUUGUUCGCCACUCUCACCCAACAACUUACCUAACAGCUCAUUUUUCUCGUCAUCUCUACCAAAAAUCUCUCCCUCAUCAAUCAAGGAGGUGGUUGGCACUCGCUCUGAUUUCUUAACAUUGUUACUCACAUUCUCAACAAAUUUAAACAUAUCUUUUCGAGUGGCAAUACCAUCUAGCUUUUCACUGAUUUCGCUAAUCUUGACAGCAACAUCAUCACGAAGAAUGAGUUGUUUGAAACCACCUAAGUAGUUUGAGGCAGCACGAAAGAAGGAACAUACCUUCUUCUUAGGAGGAGCAAGAGCAAGAGCAUCGUCAUCAUCGCCGCCCUCAUCAAGCUGCAAUUUCCGUGUUUCAGUGAUCCACUCUUCCAACACAUCUUCCAUGUCGUAGGAUGCGUCUCUGAGCUGAUCCAGCCAAAGAGUAACAGCUUUGUCCUGCUUCAUUUGCCUCUGCUCUGCAUCUUACAGUACAGCUUGAAUGACUUGAAGAUUGGUAGUAAGCUUUCCCACUUCUUGUUCGACACCCGUCACAAGCCUCCACUUUUCUUUCACCUGAUCUUGAGCAAUGGAUUUCAGCUGGUCCAGGAGAGAGGAAACGAUCGCAUGAGCCAUUCAGAGGAAAGUAGGUUUUAUGUAUUCUGUGAGAAUGUUCAUUCAAGCAUGUUUGCAUUCUUCUUAUACCAUAUGAGAUAUUUAAUUUUUACCCUCGAGUCAAUGUCAAUAAUUGUACAGCGUCUGCCCUGUUUCUCUGAUUCAUAAUAAUUCAUUGUUAAUUCUGCAGAGUACACAGCGUCAGCACUUGUGAAAUUUCUUACAUUUGUAAAAUCAUGCAGCCGACCCUUGUGAACUAACUAAUUAACUAAAUUUUCUUACAUUGUCAAUAAGUUAUGAUUAUUGUGAAUUUUCCAUCCCCUAUAUAAAUUCUUAGAUUUAUUUAAAUUGUGAGUCAUAGAAGUAUAUUACCUAAAUUAUUUUAUCAGGCCAUGUUCCGAUACUAGGAGUAAGUACGGAAUUGGACUAAUUUUGUGAUUAUCUAUUUAUCUCAUAUUUGAUAAGCUUAAUUGAAUUGGAUUUAGGAACCAAAUUUAAAUUUAAUCCUAAAAUUAUGGAAUUGAUAAUCCUAAUUUACGCAUAACUUUAGUUGGGAUAAAAUUAAAGAAAAAAAGUUAUCCAUUUAUGAGACUUUAAUUUAUAUCAUUAUCGUUUAUUUAUGCUUAAUAUUUAUUUAUUUUUUUUAAUUUAUGAUUUACUUAAAAUUUAUUUUUAUUUAUUAUCUAUCAUCUGAUUAAAUUAGAACUUUACUUCUACUAACUCUUGAUAUUAAUUUUUCAUUACUUGCAUAUUUGAUAAUUUGUCAAUAAAAUUAACCAUUUAAUAAUUUAUUGCAUAAUAGAUUGUAUUAAACUUACUAAUCACUAAAAAAAUAUUUAAAAUCAUCAUGAAAAUUAAUAAUACCGUCAAUUAAUUGAUUUUAUAUACUUUUUUAAAUAUUUGAUAAAAAAUAAUUAAGUAUUUAAAUUUUUAUUUCAUUUUUUUAUUUGUUUAUUUUAUUAUGGAUACCCAAUAACUUGCAAUAUAAUUAAUUUUCUUAUUCAGACUACUCAGCAUCAGCUCCUAUAAAAUUUCUUACAUUAUAAGCAACAAAAUAUUUAUAAACUACAACAAAGGGCUUAAAUCAAUCCACCGAUUAACCUUUUGAAGUUAUAUAUAAUAUAUUAACUGUUGAUCUAGAAUAGUCUUAGUGGAUAGAUUUUUUUUAAUUAUAAAUAUCAAUAAAUUUUUUUUAUCGUUUAAUAGAUAUUGAUGAAAUUAUAUGGAGUAAUUUCGCCCAAUCAUAUAUAUUAUAACAAAAGUUGGAAAAGAGAAAAAUAAAACAAAAGUUGGAAAAAUCAUGCAGUCGUUGGGAAUUUCGAAAUUUGAGAAUUUUGCCCGUAGCUACAGGCUGCAGCGAUUUUUGACUUUCAUGAUGCAAACAAACCAAUCAUCAUUAAUUUCAAUAGAAAGAAGUAUUCUAGGUGGAAUUGAUUUCUGGAGCAGAAUAUGAUGUAUUUGGGACUUCCUACUCUAUUAGAUAGGUUAAUAACAUGUUAAUUGUCACAUCAUUAAUUUUAGAUUAUAAAUUUUAUAUUCAAACUUUGUAUGACUGCUCCUUUUUCAUUUGAAAAAAAAAAAAAAAAUUAACUUCUAGCAUGAUCUAAUUAAUUGAUCUUGUUUCAAAAGAAUCAAAAAAAUAAAUAAAAUAAAAUAAAGUAAUGCCAUAAUCUAAUUGGUCUUGUUAUUGACAUGUACUAAUGCAUUCUAUAUUUCUAACUUUGUACAUUUUAUUGAUAUGUUUCUCUUGAGAGAUAAGAAUCAUUAUGUGGCAAAAUUUUAUUAAAGCUGGGAUUAUUUAUGUUCUAAUACUUUGAACAUUAAUUUUUAAUCUACUCUUUAGAAUACAAAAAUAAUCCUUACCUAAACAUCUUUCAUAAAUGUUUUUUGCUGGGGCUGCUAAAAUUCAUAAUCUAAUAUUAGUUGAUGUGGCAUGUGUCCUAUCACAUAAAUGUAGAUAAUAAUAAUUAAUUCAUUAACAAAAUGAAAAAUGUUAGUUUACAAAAUACAAAUCCGAAUUUUUUGUGUGUUAGAGGGAAUUUAAAAGGGAGAGACUAAACAAAUGUGGUGACAAAUUACACGUAUUACCAAAAUUGAAAAUACAAAGUUUAGGCAACUGGAAACAUCUCUGUCAAUGGCAAUGAACCCAUUACCUCCAUUUAUAAUUAACCAAAAAUCAAAUAAAUUAAAAAAGAAAACACAAAGCAAGGAUAACUACUAGUUGUUUUGAUCAUCCCUGCUUCUUUUUCUUAGCAUAGCUCUUGUAAUGAAAAUUAACAAAAAGGGCCAAAAGGGAAGCAUUAAACACAGUAUUGAAGCACCAACCCCAAAACACAGGGAAACCAAAUCCCGUGAAAUGAUAAUUCAGCAUCAAAAUGAAAAAUGUUAUGGAUGGCUGUGAUGGGUCUGAGGAUGUGGGGUCCAAUGAGAGGUGAUGAUGAUGGUGAUGUUGAUGUUGAUGUGUGGUAGAGGAUGGAUGUGAGGGAGAGGUAAGUAAUGAUGGAGUGAAUGAGGAUGCGUGGGAAGGAAGCUAGGGUUUGGUUUUGAGUCCAUGUGAAGUUGAGGACUUGUGGGUGGCUUACAAGCAAUAUUGGAGUGUUAAGCUGAUUGAAUUUGAACAGUGCUACUCCAAUAACAUCAAUAUGGUUGAUGACCGCUCUAUCAAAUCCUUUGGAUAAAUGAAUUGACCGCUCUAAAAUAAAUGAAUGAGAUAGGAUAAAUUCGAAUAAAUUAAUCUGCAUAAUGACACAAGAAACAAAUAUAAAUUGACCGCAAGUAGAAAUAUACUUUUGUUAUAUUUAGAGCAUCUUCCAAUUUCUUUCCCUUGAGCUCUGUUUCUGCGAGUGCUCAAAAGCAAGACACAGGCCUCAAGAUAUAAUUAUCAUCAUCAAUCUUUUGCAGCCACAUGCAGUACUUGGAAAAUGUUUAUGGCCCUAAAUAACUGGAAAAUCAGAAAACAUUAAGAACAAGAGACUAAUCAUUUUAAUCGCAACAAAACAUGCACACUAUGAAAAUAUAAAAUUGAAUUACUUCGAAUGGAUGUGCCUCUUAACAGGAAUUGCACAAGCUAAUGAGCAAGUGAGCCUUCGAAUGAAAAUCUAAAUCCUUGCAGCCUGCGUCAUGCAGCUUCUCCCAAUGAGUAAGUGAACCUUGAACAGUUAUCACUCAGCUCAAACUAAAAUGAAAUUACUGUGGACAUGUGAAUUAAAAAUAGAUGUAAAAGUAGUUUUCUCAAAGCAAAGUCAAGAUAAGAGAUUAACUCUACUCCUUAUUUACAUUAAAAAUAACGAACAAUGGAAAACAGAGCUAGAGAAGAACUUACCUGUGCGUUGAGAUCAUGUGGGGAAUGUGAGAUAUCUUCUUAGAUUUGGUUUGGGAAACUCCAUCUUCUUCUGAAAGUUCUGACAGUUCCCUAAACCCAGGCCAAUACAAUUGCAACAGAAACUGCAUGCUUUAACCAGUAUCUGAUCAUCUCCUGUUAUUUCAAGACAAUAAUAACUUAAUUGCAACACUGCAUGCUUCAACCAAUAACCUUUUCGACUUCAACACUUCUUUUGUCCCCCACCCGAUGCCCUUUUCACAAUUCUAUGAAUCAGAUAAAUCAGCCUUCUUCACAAAACUAAAAUUUCGGUCCCCAUGUAGCAGAGUUUCUUAUUUUUCCUUUGUACACAAAUGCAGACACUUAAGCAAAUUAAGAUUUCUUACCUAAAGCAAAUUAGGAUUUCUUUUGAUCCUGCAAGUUACAAUUUCAGUCCCCAUGUAAUAGUAAAAAUUUGUACACAUAUUUAUAUAGCAAAUUAAUAUUUCAUACCUCACAAUAUUUAUCAUAACCAUCAAUCUUUAGAAACCACAUGCAGACUUGUUAAACUGUUUAUGGCCCAAAAUAACAGGAAAAUUAGAACAGAUUUUUAAGAAUGAGCGACUAAAUAUUUCAAUGGCAACUAAAAUUACACAUCUUGGAAAUCUGAAACUCAAGUACUCAGAACACUGUAAGUGCAUUGCAUAAUCUUGGGUAAAAAAUACACAGCAAUUAAACAAGCUGGGAACUUUAGUGCAAAUGCUUUUUCAUAAUCUUCAAUUGCAUAAGUCAGUUAGAAUCAAUCUUUCUUAAUCUUUCAAUUCACAUAUGAGAGCCUGAUAACACAAGGAAACACUGUAAGUGAAUUGUCAACUGUGACAAAUUUUGGGUAAAAAUUAUCAACUGUAGUUAUCUGCAUAACAUUUAGUGUCAACCCCAAAUUCCUUCCUGAUCCGUGGAAGCAUUUCAGCCCACAGACGGUUAGCUUUGUCAAUAUACGGCAACUCAGGAUUCUAUAUUUAAACUAUGAUGUUUGAUGACUUGCUGAUACAAAAGACAUUGCCCCAAGCACUUUUUUACAUUAGCUAAAAUCAAGCCAGUCACUUCCAUUUGUUGCAGUUUUAAUGCAGAAAGAAAAAAGGGGGAAAAAAAUCUGCAAGAUGCCACUUGUAAUACCGCAUGUUCGCAGGAGCAGAGUUAAAUAAUUACAAAAUUACAUUCUUUAUUGGCCACAAAGCUGCCUAGAAAAAGGCUUUAAAUUCUUAAUGAGACAACGUAUUCGAACAAAUAUGGUGAAUGAAGAGACAAAGGCAUAACACCUCGGGAAGUAAAGCUCUGUUUCUGUAUGUGCUCAAACCAAUGGAAACCCAUGGAAAUGAAUUUCUACGAAUUAGACAUGUCAGCCAAAACAGGUACUCUGUACAAGCAAAGUAAAAGAGAGUUACAAAAAAUUUUAAGAUAAUUAAACUUUUAGUCACCAUAUAAUUAAUAGAAAACUUUGUACACAAUGAUUUAUAUGAGAUUAAGAUUGUAUACCUAAGUUUUAAUUGCAAACUAAAUAUACACAACAUGAUAUUAGCAUUAGAAGACUGCACCAAAACGCACCGAAUUGAAUGUACCUCUUAACGGCCAUUGUACAUGCAUUGAAAGUUUACCGCAAAAGCUGUUUCAAACGUGAUGCAUCUUAGAGAUGCAAGAUGAGAAAUUGUUAUUACAACUAGCAUUGAAACAUGUGUGAAAACUGUUAAUGGACCUAAAUAACUUGAAAAUCAGAAAAGAUUAGGAAUGAGUGACUAAGCCUGCUAAUCGCAACUAAACGUGCAAACCUUGAAAAUCCAAAAUUGUACUCGAUGAAUGUGCAAUUGCUCAAGCAGGUAAAUUUCCUGCAAAGGCUCUUACAAACCCUCAAAGAUGAUACUCUACAUACCAUGGUAACCUGAGUAACAAAAAGAAACACAGUGAAUAUUAAAGGGCAUUCUGACAAUGCAAAUUUGUGUAAAUUAACAACUGCGGUUACCUGCAUAAUAGUGUCAAUACCGAAUUCCUUCCUCCAUGGAAGCAUGUGAUCAGCCCACAUGUGCUUUGCUCUGUAGCUUUUGAAUACCUGAAAUUGUUAUCACAACCAACGGUGAAAAAUGGGUGAAAAAAGGGUAAUAGUAGCAUAAUUGAAUUUGCUUAUAGAGGAUAAACCGAUCAAAGAAAAAAACAAGACAGAAAUGAUGAUCUUAGUACCUUAAUAUCAUGCAAUAAUAAUCAUCAUGCCUUCUAGGCAGCUAUCCAUCCUCAAUUGAAACAGAGCAGACCUGGCCAUCACUUUCUUCUUCAAAGUCCAGCAACUGAACGUUGCACACAACACCACAGUGGAAGUUCCAUCACCAGCCUAAUCCUUGAUUACCCCAAUGUUCUCCAUAGGGUCUUCAAAGUCAACCUAAAAAUAAAAUGAAAAUGCAAUGCAUUAUUAUUAGGGAUCUAGUGCUUGAGCUUGCUUUGACAUCAUGGUAUUAGCAAAUUCUGAUAUAGCCAAAAUGGUGAAUAAGAUGACGUACUUGAUAAGAAAAACCUGAUUUAACAAAUAAUUAAGGAGCCGGUAACAAUCACAGAAUCUCAUCAUGUGGGGAACGCCUUGGCAACAGAAGAUGGUGCUUUCAUUCAAGCAAUAGCAACUUUCCAAUUUCAUAAGGUAGUUUAAUGGCCCUUUUAAGAACAUCUGCACCAGCCUAAUAAUUAUUCAUGGAAAUUAAUAAUCAGAAUCAUGUUAGAUUGAGAGAUGAAACAUAAUAAGCGAUUUGGCCACCAUAUAUGCAUUUAUCACCUUCAAUUUGCUCAUCUUUGUCUAGAGUAUUGCUUCUGCAUUAACUUAAUUAGCUUGCAAGCCACCUGAACAUGGUUUUAAAUAAAGUGUAAGAGCUCGAAUUCGAACGAAUUAAUCAAAUAUGCUGACAGGAGAAACAAAAGUAAAUAACCACAAGAAGUAGAAAUAUACUUUUGUUAUAUUCAGAGCAUCUUCUUGCGUCAAGUUCUUUUCCUUUAGCUCUGUUUCUGUUUGUGCUCAAACGCAAUGGCUCAAGGGCCAAGAUAAUUUUAUGACCAUCAAUCUUUUUGCAGCCACAGCAGACUUGAAAAAAUGAUUGUGGCCCUAAGGAACUUGAAAAUUAGAAAAGAUUCAGAAUGAGUGACUAAAUAUUAUAAUUGAAACUAACUAAACAUUAUAAUCGAAACUAAUUAAACGCCUAGAAAAUCUGAAACUGAGCAAUUGCUUCUGGUGGAAACUUUACUGCAAGGACUUUCUCAAACCCUUGAAGAUCACACUCUACCUGAUAACAAAGAAACAGUCAAUAUACGAAGAUGAUUUUACUAACAAGUGAGUGCUUACACAUAUUGGAAGGAUAAUGAUGAUUCAUAACCCAAAUCCCCAAUACUCCCUAUUAUCUCACUCAAGUUCGAGCUCCCAGAAUUCACUACUGUGAAGCUCUCACAACAAAAUUCCCUUCAAAGAUUCUCUACUCAAAUUUGAUGAUGAUGUCCCUCCAAAGGAGGCAAAAAAUCUAACACUGAUCAAAUUGGUUUGUGAACAAUUAAUCUUCCUGGCCAUCAUGCAUACCAGGUGUGGUGAGCAAUCUUCAUUAUGACAUUUGCCUUAAUAAGCAGCUUAGUUUCCUUAACCUGAUAACUUACACAAACAAAAACAACUUGAUUAAAGUUUAAUAUUUAGAGGCAGAACAGUAAAGAAGAUGAUAUAUAUUGAUACUAAAAUUUGACCUGUGUUAUCCUGACGUCAAGAAUCACAGCAUCUCAUGUGGGCAGAAUCUUCGCAGUACAAUAUGCUUGCAAAAUUGAAGCAGCAUCUUAUCACCUGUAAUUUAAUUAAGACAAUAACUUUCCCCAACCAUUUCAAUGCAUUAUUGCCAACUAAAUUCAGAGGGUGCUAAUUAAAUAGCCUUUGAACAAUAUAUUCUUAUUCUUCUCCAAUCUAACAAUUAUUUCGAAAAUCUAAAUGACAAUCACGCAUCGAUGGCAUCAAAAUUUGGCUACAAAGCAGCCUGGAAAAGGCUUUACUCUCUGAAUGAGAGCAUGAAUUCGAAACAAAUAUGAUGAAUGAAGAAAAUAAGGCAUAAUACCACCAAAAGUAAAACUUUCUCCCAGGGCUCUAUGUUUCUGUUUGUGCUAAAACCAAUAGAAACCGAUGGAAAUGAAUUUCUAGGAAUUAGACAUAUCAGCGAAAACAGGUAUUCUGUACAAGCAAAGUAAAAUAGGGUUACCAAAAUUUUUAAGAUUGAUAUGAUACUUGAAAAAUAGGUUUGCACAGAAUUAAUUAUUCUGUCAUUGAGAUUGUUCUUUUAUAGAGAUUUCCAGCGCACAUAAAACUAUUAAAUCAGUAAACUAAAUCACUGAUUUAAGGAAAGAAUAAUUUCUAGGUAGAUUUUCCUAAAAUACAUAGAUUUGCACCUAAAUAGCUAUGUUACAGCUAAUGACUAAUUUACAGCACAUAUUUUUUCUAAUUUUCUAACACUCCCCCUCGAGCUGGUUUGAAGAUAUCCUCCAUAGCCAGCUUGCCAACUAGAAAAUUGAACUGUUUUGUGUGUAGUCCUUUGGUAAAGACAUCAGCCACUUGUUCUCCAGUAGGAAUGUGCUCCAUAUGAACCAAUCCAUUAUCUAUCUUCUCCUUGAUGAAAUGCUUGUCAAUCUCCACAUGUUUUGUGCGGUCAUGAAGGACUGGAUUGUGUGCUAUUGAGAUUGCUGCCUUGUUGUCACAGUACAACUACAUAGGAGAUGAUUUUGUCGCUUUUAACUCUUCCAACAGCCUCCUAAUCCACAUGAUCUCACAAAUGCCAUGGGUUACAGCUCUAAAUUCAGCCUCAGCACUGCUCCUAGCUACCACAUUCUGUUUCUUGCUUCUCCAAGUAACCAAAUUACCACCUACAAAUGAACAGUAUCCAGAAGUGGAUCUUCGGUCUACUUUGCAGGUAAAUUUACUGCAAAGGCUCUUACAAGCCCUCAAAGAUGAUAUUCUACAUACCAUGGUAACCUGACUAACAAAAAGAAACACAGUGAAUAUUAAAGGGCAUUCUGACAAUGCAAAUUUGUGCAAAUUAACAACUGCGGUUACCUGCAUAAUAGUGUCAAUACCGAGUUCCUUCCUCCAUGGAAGCAUAUGAUCAGCCCACAUGUGCUUUGCUCUGUAGCUUUUGAGUACCUGAAAUUGUUAUUACAACCAGCGGUGAAAAUUGGGUGAAAAAAUGGUAAUAUUAGCAUAAUUGAAUUUGCUUAUAGAGGAUAAACCGAUCAAAGAAAACGACAAGAUAGAAAUGAUUAUCUUAGUACCUUAAUAUCAUGCAAUAAAAAUCAUCAUGCCUUCCAGGCAGCUAUCCAUCCUCAAUUGAAACAGAGCAGACCUGGCCAUCACUUUCUUCUUCAAAGUCCAGCAACUGAACGUUGCACACAACACCACAGUGGAAGUAGUUCCAUCACCAGCCUAAUCCUUGAUUACCCCAAUGUUCUCCAUAGGGUCUUCAAAGUCAACCUAAAAAUAAAAUGAAAAUGCAAUGCAUUAUUAUUAGGGAUCUAGUGCUUGAGCUUGCUUUGACAUCAUGGUAUUAGCAAAUUCUGAUAUAGCCAAAAUGGUGAAUAAGAUGAUGUACUUGAUAAGAAAAACCUGAUUUAACAAAUAAUUAAGAAGCCGGUAACAAUCACAUAAUCUCAUCAUGUGGGGAAUGCCUUGGCAACAGAAGAUGGUGCUUUCAUUCAAGCAAUAGCAACUUUCCAAUUUCAUAAGGUAGUUUAAUGGCCCUUUUAAGAACAUCUGUACCAGCCUAACAAUUAUUCAUGGAAAUUAAAAUUCAGAAUCAUAUUAGAUUGAGAGAUGAAAUAUAAUAAGCGAUUUGGCCACCAUAUAUGCAUUUAUCACCUUCAAUUUGCUCAUCUUUGUCUGGAGUAUUGCUUCUGCAUUAACUUAAUUAGCUUGCAAGCCACCUACAAAUGGUUUUAAAUAAUGUGUGAGAGUGUGAAUUCGAACGAAUUAAUCAAAUAUGCUGACAGGAGAAACAAAAGUAAAUAACCACAAGAAGUAGAAAUAUACUUUUGUUAUAUUCAGAGCAUCUUCUUGCGUCAAGUUCUUUUCCUUUAGCUCUGUUUCUGUUUGUGCUCAAACGGAAUGGCUCAAGGGUCAAGAUAAUUUUAUGACCAUCAAUCUUUUUGCAGCCACAUGCAGACUUGAAAAACUGGUCGUGGCACUAAGGAACUUGAAAAUUAGAAAAGAUUCAGAAUGAGUGACUAAAUAUUAUAAUCGAAACUAAUUAAACAUACACGCCUAGAAAAUCUGAAACUGAACUUCUCAAAUGUAUAUGCCUCUUCGCAGCAAUUGCUUGUGGUGGAAACUUUACCGCAAGGACUUUCUCAAACCCUUGAAGAUCACACUCUACCUGAUAACAAAGAAACAUAGUCAAUAUACGAAGAUGAUUUUACUAACAAGUGAGUGCUUACACAUAUUGGAAGGAUAAUGAUUACUCAUAACCCAAAUCCCCAACACUCCCUAAUAUCUCACUCAAGUGAGUACGAGCUCCCAGAAUUCACUACUGUGAAACUCUUACAACAAAAUUCCCUUUAAAGAUUCUCUACUCAAAUUUGAUGAUGAUGUCCCUCGAAAGGAGGCAAAAAAUCUAACACUGAUCAAAUUGGCUUGUGAACAAUUAAUCUUCCUGGCGAUCAUGCAUACCAGGUGUGGUGAGCAAUCUUCAUUCUGACAUUUGCCUUAAUAAGCGGCUUAGUAUCCUUAACCUGAUAACUUACACAAACAAAAACAACUUGAUUAAAGUAUAAUAUUUAGAGGCAGAACAGUAAAGAAGAUGAUAUAUAUUGGUACUAAAAUUUGACCUGUGUUAUCCUGACGUCAAGAAUCACAGCAUCUCAUGUGGGCAGAAUAUUCGCAGUACAAGAUGCUUGCAAAAUUGAAGCAGCAUCUUAUCACCUGUAAUUUAAUUAAGACAAUAACUUUCCCCAACCAUUUCAAUGCAUUAUUGGCAACUAAAUUCAGAGGGUGCUAAUUAAAUAGCCUUUGAACAAUAUAUUCUAAUUCUUCUCCAAUCUAACAAUUAUUUGGAAAAUCUGAAUGACAAUCAUGCAUCGACGACAUCAAAAUUUGGCUACAAAGCAGCCUGGAAAAGGCUUUACUCUCUGAAUGAGAGCAUGAAUUCGAAACAAAUAUCAUGAAUGAAGAAACAAAGGCAUAAUACCACAAAAAGUAAAACUUUUCCCAGGGCUAUCUGUUUCUGUUUGAACUAAAACCAAUGGAAACCGAUGGAAAUGAAUUUCUAGGAAUUAGACAUAUCAGCCAAAACAGGUACUCUGUACAAGCAAAGUAAAAUAGGGUUACAAAAAAUUUUAAGAUUGAUAUGAUAAUUAAAAUUUCAGUCACCAUAUAAUUAAUAGAAAACUUUGGACACAAUGAUUUAUUGCAUAUUAAGAUUGCUAUAUAAAAUAUAAUAUUAGCAUUAGGAGACCGCACCGAAGCAUACCGAAUUGAAUGUGCCUUUUCACAGCCAUUUUACAAGCUUUGAAGCUUCACCACAAAUGCUUUUUCCAACCCGUGAACAUGGUGCACCCGAGAGAUGCAAGCUAUGAAAUUGUUACUACAGCAAGCGUUGGAACAUUUGUUAAAAAAGGAAGUUUAUGAAAAUACGCCUUUGGAUACCAGUCUUCAGGAAUCAAUUCAUCCGUAAUAACAAUUUUCAAGAAUUAUCAACUGCUUUAAGCUCAUCGACAUCACAAAGAUCUCAACUAAAAUAGAGCAGAUCCGGCCAUCACUAUCCCUUCUACUGCUCUUUUCCUUUAGAGAAUGAUUGAAUUACAGAAUGCGUGUAAGGCAUUCUUAUUCAAGGUCCAAUGAUCAAACCUUGCACUAUAACAACAGAGGUAGUAGUUUCUUCGCCAGCCUAAUCCUUGGUCUCAGGAAUGUCCUCAACAGAGUACUCGAAAUCAACCUAAAAAUUAAGAAUGAGUUGGAAAACUGUUUAUGGCCCUAAAGAACUUGAAAAUAAGAAAAGAUUAAGAAUGAGUGACUAAACAUUUAAUCGCAACUAAACAUACAAACCUUGAAAAUCUAACUUUGAAGUACUCUUGAAUGAAUGAGCAGUUGCACGAGCUGGUGACAACUAAGGUUACUGUGAAGUCUCUUACAAAUCCUUAAAGAUGAUACUUUACAUACCACGAUAACCUGAUAACACAUAGGAACACAAUAAACAUUAAAGUGUAUUCUGACAAUGCAAAUUUGUGGAAAUCAUCAGCUGUGGUUACCUGGACAAUAUUGCCAACACCAAACUCCUUCCUCAAUUGAAACAUAUGAUCAGCCCACAAAUGCUUUGCUUUGUAGCUUUUGAGAGCCUGAAAUUGUUAUCACAACCAACAAUGAAAAUUGGGUGAAAAAAUUGAUAAUAUUAGCUUAAUUCCAUAUGUUUAUAUAGGAUAAACCGAUCAAAGAAUGAAAAAAGAUAGAAACAGAGCAGACCCAGCCAUCACUUUCUUCUUCAAAGUCGCACCAUAACCACAGUGGUAGUCGUUCCACUGCCAGCCUAAUCCUUGGUCACCCCAAUGUUCUCCAUGAAGUAUUCAAAGUCAACCUAAAAAUAAAUAAAAAUGCAAUGCAGGUGGAAAUGAAAAUUCUAUAAAUUAAAUAAAAUAAAAAUGCAAUGCUUGAGCUUGAGCUUGCUUUAGCAUCAUCGUAAUAGUAAAUUUUGAUAUAUCUUUACUUCUCUGUUCUUGUUUAUUCACAACAAGAUAUCAAUAGAAGAAGAUGGAAAUGAAAUUCUAUAAAAUAAAGCAAGUGAAUUACCAACAGAACAUUUUAGCAAUCCUUUGGCUAAACUUUUCAUUUUCUUAGCAUACUCUCCUGCCUGGUGAACAUAAUUAAACAAGUAUGAAAUAAAACAAAGUGGGCUAAUGUAGUAAAAACAAUAACACAAUUACUUUAAAGAAUUAAUGUCACGUAUAUUAUAUAUAAAAAAAUACGAUUAUCAUUAUAUAAGAUAAAAUUGAUAAUUUAGUUUUCAACAUUACUGCAAACGUAUCACAGAGAUUUUGUUACACAUAACAAAUUUUCGUACAUAUGAAAAUAAAUUACAUUGCAUGAAAUUUUACAAAAGAGCACAUAUUUUUUAAAAGUAAAUAAAUAUAGAAAUUUCAACAGACUACACUUGUAUUUUUUUUUAAUUAUUUAAUCUUUAGAAAACAAGUUUAACAGAUUUGAUAACUAGGAAGUUUUACGUAUUUAUACCAUGAUUGAUUCUAUAUAGAAUUUUAAUUCAAAAUAUAAUUAUUUUUAUUAAUUUCAUUGCAAGCAACAACGAAGUAAAUUAGAGGAGGAGGAGAAAUUACCGGCGAGUGAUAAAUUACCGCGACCACUUGAUGUGGGGAAUGCGAGAUAUCUUAUGCCAGUCUUCUCCUUUCCCCUCUCUAUAACGGUUUUCCAGAAGAGGACAUCUGUCAAUAGUCAAUUCCUGCAGCGUCGUCGUCCGAAGAAGGUAAUCCGGCAGCACCUUUAAUUUGGGGCAAUACUCAAUUACCAAGGAAGAAAGACGUGGUAUGUCUGUUGUCCUGUGAUCUUCUAGAAUGGGCAGUUCUUCCAUAUUUGCACAAAAAGAAAUCCUCAGUUUCUGCAGUGCCGUCGUUCGAAGAAGGUAAUCCGGCAGCGCCUUCAAUUUGUUGCAAGAACGAACUUCCAAGGAAGAAAGACGGGGCAUGAUAGAGAUGUUUUCCUUCCUCGUAAUCCUGUAAUUCCACUCUUCCAAUUCUUCCAUGUCCCAAAUUAUGAGUGAUUUCAAUUUGGGGAAGGCAGUAACUGAUGAUGAUGAUGAAGAUGAAGACGGGCCAUCCUCACUGCUUUCUUCUAUUCCCAAAAACUCAUUACCCACUCUUUUUACACUUUUCAAGUACCAUAGUUCGAGUUUUUCCAGAGGCAAUUUUCCCAAAGGAGGCAAAUGCUCACACUUAAGGCACGAGCGAAGAUAUAAAUUCCUUAGAUUGGUCAGUGAAGUCAACCAUUUGGGAAAAAUGUUGCGUCCAUAUAAUAUAAUCCCUAAUUUCUCUACACUCAAAGGCGGUUGUAAGGCUUUAAGAAGUUGUUCAUCUUUCUCUUUCUUCCUCCUCCUUUCUUCAUCUUCCCCAUCUACGACUCUACCAAACUCAAGACGCAAACGAAGGAGGUUUUGCUGAUUGUAAAGUUGUAAUCUCUCGACCUCAUCUAAACGGGACACAUUACCCAGCCCUUCAAUUCCACAUUCUCGAAGGAGUUGAAGAUUUUUCAGAGAUUCAAGCCUACAAGUAUUGCUACCAUCAACACCUCCACCCACCACAAACUUGUCUAAUGUUCGAAGACUGGUUAAUUUGGAAAUCCCUACUGGCAUGUAUUUCAACGAAUAAGUUUCAGCAUUCAGUAAACUCCUCAUGUUCUUUAACUUCCCAAUCCCCGCUGGCAAUUCUUUAAGAUUUCGGCACCGCCUAAUAUCUAGCUUUUGUAAAUUAUAUAAUUCACACAAAGUCUUAGGUAGUCUCUCUAUGCCUAAUUCAGACAAAUUAAGAUAUCUUAAAUGUAUCAAUUUUCCGACAUUUUUUGGAAUUUCUCUAAUCAAACUUGAGUGAAGACGAACAGGCGAGGAUGAUAGCCUUAUAACUAAUGAUUCCCUUAUAACUAAUGCCCUCAAACAUGCCAAUUUACUAAAUAACUUUCGAGUUUCUCUAAUCUUAUAUGUGUUUGGACAAAAACAUAGGCGCAACAGCCUUAUAACUAAUGCCCUUAAACAUUCUUUGCUACUACUAAAAGACGAAAGGAUGCUACUAAGAGACAGAUUGAAAUCACUUCUAUCAUAAAUUAAAAGGGUACGCAAUCUAUCAAGUCCACGAAUGGAUAUAGGAAAUGAAGUGCCUCUUUGAAAAUUUAACCCUAAGUGACGGACUUUGUCACCAAAAGAGUUUAUGACUGAGUCUUUGGUACCAUUAAUUUCUACCCACAAACAUUCUUUUCUACUUACAAAUUGGGCAAAAUCAUGUAUUAUGUCAUGCAUCUUGCAGCUCAUAAUAUCAUCAUCAUCAUCUUUUUUAAACUCUUGAAAGAAAGAGCGUGCUGCUAAAAUGUUGAAAUACUCUUCCCCAAUCAUCUCCAUCUCUUCGUCUUCUUCUGUAUUAAGAUAACCUUGAGCCAUCCAUAGUGAAAUUAGUUCCUCUUUAUUCAUAUUGUAGUUUUUUGGAAAGACAGCACAAUAUGAGAAACAUUGUUUUACCAUAGAAUUGGAGGGCAAAUCGUUAUAACUCAACAACAAAGGAGCUAAAAGACCUUGCCCAAUUGCUUCUACUUUCCACAUUUCACUCUCUAAAAUUCUUUGCCACUCUUUUACUGUACUUUUAGAGCGCAAGAGAUUCCCUAUUACCUUUGCAGCAAGAGGCAGGCCUUUGCACUUAUGUGCAAUUUUGCGCCCGAUUGGUUCUAAUUUUUCACGAUCCUCAAAGGACCUACGUAGAAAUGCCAUCUGCUUAAACAGUAACCAACAUUCCCCUUCUCCCAACUCCUUGACAGGGAUAAUAUCUAUUGAUCCCAACUGUAGUGCAACUGACCUAUCACGUGUGGUAAUUAGAAUUUUACUUUCAUGGUGGCCAUUCUUUAGACAAGAAAAGAAUGGGUCCCAUUUUUUGUAAUCUACAUCCCACACAUCAUCUAAAACAAGAAAAAACUUUUUUCCUUCAAUUGAUGUAUGGAUAUGGCUCAUAAGAGAUUGGAAUUCGCUUAAAUCAUAAGCUUCUUUUGACUUGCCUAGACCUUCAAUGAUUGCUUUGGCAACCCUAAUCCUCUCAAAAGUGUCUGAUACACACACCCAUAUAACUUUUUCAAAAUUUCUUUUCACCUCAUCAUUAUUAUAGGCCAGUUGUGCAAGAGUGGUUUUACCUAUACCCCCUAACCCAACUAGUGAGAUGAUAUGAAGGCCUUCUUGUUGUUCACUACUUUGACACAACAACUUGCUUAAGAGCUCAUCUUUCUCAUUAACUCUACCGCAAACCUCUCCCUCAUCAAUCAAGGAGGUGGUUCGCACUCGCUCUGGUUUCUUGACAUUGUUACUCACAUUCUCAACAAAUUUAAACAUAUCUUUUCGAGUGGCAAUACCAUCUAGCUUUUCAUUGAUUUCCCUAAUCUUGACAGCAAUGUCAUGACGAAGACUGAGUUGUUUGAAACUGCCACAGCAGUUUGAUACAGCACAAAAGAAGGAACGUACCUUCUUCUUAUGAACGCCCUCAAUCUGCAAUUUGAGCCUUGCAGUGGUCCACUCCUCCAACACAUCUUCCAUGUCGUAAGAUGCGUCUUUGAGCUGAUCCAGCCAAAAAGUAACAUCUUUCUCGUGCUGCAUUUGCCUUUUCUCUGCAUCUUCCAGCACAAGUUGAAUGGCUUGUAGAUUGCUGGUGAGCUUUUUCACUUCUUCGUCGACACCAGUAACAAGCCUCACCUGUUGUUUCAGUUCAUCAGUUGCAACUGAGCUCAGCUGCUCCAGGAGAGAGGAAACGAUCGCAUCAACCAUUCUGACAAAGAAGAUGAGAAUUCUGAAGAGUUAUUAGAUGUGCUUUUGUUGCGAAGAUAUGAAAGAAAGGAGUUAUUGCAUUCUUUUAUACUGCAUAGAAAAGGUUUAUGCUUAUCCCCACCCCACACGUCAAUGAUUGUAGAAUGUUUAAUUUCCCUGAUUCUACUCCACUAGUUGUGAUGCGUAAUUAUAAAUAUUCUCAAGUUAUGUAUGAAAAUCCCACAAAUUUGGAUCUAGUAAUGAUUUUUAUGUAUUUUUUCAUAAUCUUCUAAAAUACUAUAUCUGCAUGUUAUUUCGUGCAGAAAUAUGGCAUUGGGUGAAAAAAGUUAUGCUUAUCCCCACCCACACGUUAGUAAUUGUAGUAGCAUCUGUAAUUUCCAUGAUUCUACUCCACGGACGAACACAUUUUUUGUACUAACAUCUUUAAAUUCCCACACGUUAGGAAUUUGGCACAUAAUCUCAAACUCGUCGCAUCUUUAACGUAUGAGGUUGAUGAAUAAAUUCUUUUCUCAUAUCAAUUUAAAACUCCGAGAUUAUGUGCCAAAUUCCUAACGUGUGGGAAUUUUACCUCCUAAGUAAUCCGGCCCACUGCCAAGUGCCAACUUUUUCUCUGUCGAGUUAAUGAUGUUGUUUUGUUUUCCUUGUUUUAAUUAAUGUUGCGGAGAGAAACAGAUCGAUGCAAAUGGCUAGCCAGGUUUUGCAGAAACCGUGAAUGGUCUUGCAUGCAUGUGACAUAAAGCUUUAUAUAUAGCUUAUUCCUCCAUCAACAUUUCAAUGGUUCCAUCUCACGUGCACUUGGCUAUGAAUAAGGUCCAUGCAUGGAUCGAUCGAUUUAGGAGUUUGGACCAUCUCAUGCUGCAGAGUUAUGUGUCAUGUAUGUGUGUUGACACUUGCCAGUUCAUUUUUGUUAUAAAGAUUAUUGAUACUCGUAAAUGUACUACUUACAAAUCAUAAAUUUUGAGUUUGACACUUUAGUUUCAUUUUGUAAUCCCUACGCUCUUUAAAUAUUUGUAAUAAUAUAUUUCAAACUUUAACUCAGACGUAAUGAAUGAAGGGGGAUCCUCUUCUUAUAUAAAUUUUUAUUUUUUAACGUUCAAGUUACAUUUGAUUACGUGUACUUAUUAUCUAGUUUUGACUAUCUAAUGACAUUUGAUUACGUGUACUUAUUAUAUGAUUUUUUUUUAAAUGAUGGGUCUGGUGAGAUUUUUUACAUCUUGGAUUAGUAGGUCAAGAACGGGCAGGGCAGGGCCUUCUCUGAAGUCAAUCUUGUGAGCAACACCAGCUUUUUGGAUAAUUGGCAGCCCCAAUUCAUAAUUUUCUCAGUUGAUGUCCAUGGCCAAAAUCUGCAACCGAAGCUUAUUCUACUCUUAUUAAUCGAGAGAUAAUUUUAUCUCUAACUAAUUUAAUUGGGAGGAAAAUUGAGAGAGAUAUCCACUCUGUCCUUAUUAAUUGAGAGAUAAUUUUACCCUUACCCAAUUUAAUUGGAAAGGAAAUCGAAUUCCAACAAUAACUAGGACUUGAAUCCAUGCACUUAAGCUAACUUUAAGUUUUAGGAUGCAUGGUUAUAAUGUUCUUUAUUUAAAUCCUAACAAAUGGUGGGACUUGAACUUGUGCCUACAAACAUUGAGUGCUUAGGGGCUGCAAAAUUUCAUAACUUAAUUUUAGUUGAUGUGGUAUGUGCCCUAUCACAUAAAUAUGUAGAUAAUAAUAAUUAAUACAUUAACAAAAUGAAAAAUAUUAGUUUACAAAAUACAAAUCCAAAUUUUUUGUGUGACAAGGGACUUAAAAGGGAGAGACUAAACAAAUGUGGUGAAAACGACAUGUAUUACUAAAACUAAAAAUACGAAGUCUAGGCAAUUGAAAACAUCGGGUUUUUUAUUUAAAUAUCCCCAAUUUGUCCUUAAAUACCAAAUUUAUACCCUAUUAUAUACAUAUACCUCACGAAGAUAGGGAAAAUAAAAAAUAACCUUAAAAAAAUCAAGAAUCCACACAUUUCUUCCUCUCAGUGCAGGAAGAUGUCGAGUACGAAGUCGGGUAAGUCGAGAAUUUAGUCGAGCAAGAAUUGGAGAUAAGUAAGUUGAGUAUAUGGUCCAGUAGGAAGUUGAGUAAGCAUAUUAAAUGAGUCCAGUAUUAAGUGGUAGAGUAUUAAGUAAAAGUCAAGUAAAUUUUUUAAACAAGUCAAAUAAAAUUUAUGUAAUUUUUAAAGAGGUUGAGUAUUAAGUCGGGUUAGUACAUUGGGUCGAGUGUUAAUAUUUUUAAAGAAGUGAAGUCUGGUAAGUUGAGCAUUCAGUCGAGUAAGAAGUUAAGGCAAUUGAAUAAGUCGAGUCUCUAGUCGAGUACGAAGUCGGGUAUAAAGUCUGGUAAGUUGAGCAUUCAGUCGAGUAAGAAGUGAAGGCAAUUGAAUAAGUCGAGUGUCUAGUCGAGUACGAAGUUGGGUAUGAAAUCUGGUAAGUUGAGCAUUCAGUCGAGUGAGAAGUGAAGGCAAUUGAAUAAGUCAAGUAUCUAGUCGAGUACGAAGUCGGGUAUGAAGUAUGGUAAGUUGAGCAUUCAGUUGAGUAAGAAGUGAAGGCAAUUGAAUAAGUCGAGUACGAAGUCGGGUAUGAAAUAUGGUAAGUUGAGCAUUCAGUCGAGUGAGAAGUUAAGGCAAUUGAAUAAGUCGAGUAUCUAGUUGAGUACGAAGUCGGGUAUGAAGUUUGGUAAGUUAAGCAUUUAAUCGAGUAAGAAGUGAAGGUAAUUGAAUAAGUCGAGUAUCUAGUUGAUUACGAAGUCGGAUCUGAAGUCUAGUAAGUUGAACAUUCAGUUGAGUAAGAAGUGAAAACAAUUGAAUAAGUCGAAUAUCUAGUCGAGUAAAAAGUCGAGUAAGUAGAUUGAAUGAGUAGGGUAUUAAUUUUUUGUUGGCAUUUUAUUGAGGCUAUUUUUGUACUUUCUUUGGUUUUUUAAGUAUGUAUAUGCAAAGUACAGAUUUUAAUAGAUGGAUGUAUAUUUUGGGUAUUACGAGAGAAACGGGGUAUAUCCCACGCAAUUCCUUCGAAAACAUCUCUGUCAAUUGCAAUGAACAGAUCACAACCCUUCAUAAUUAAACAAAAUCAAACUUGAAAAAAAAAAUCACACACACACACACAAAACAAUCACAAAAACUAUUUGUUCUGAUCAUCCCUGCUUUUUUUUAGCGUAGCUCUUGGAAUGAAAAUUAACAAAAAGUGUCAAAAGAGAAGCAUUAAACACAGCAUUGAAGCACCAGCCCAAAAUCCCAGAGCAACCAAAUCCCGUAAAAUGAUAAUACAGCAUCAAAACCGAAACAACAAAACUAAACACAAACUGAACAAUCUAACAAUCAGUGACCAAUCUCUUCCACUUUGGCCGCAACCCCAUCACACACAAUAGAUAGUACCCGUACAUGAUCACAUGCACACUUGCAUUAGUCACAAGUGCAAUAGGAAACAAAGACUGCUUCGUCUGUAACCAAAGGUAGCACAUUACGACGACGGUUGCAUGGUGGUAGACGUGGAGGAACGUGAGCCAUUGGAUGGAUUUUGACAAAAUGAUCAAAAGGGUGUCUAAGAAUUCGAGUAUUUUGGAGAGGUAGAAGAGGUAAGCGUAGAAGAAGAGGGGGCCAGACGGAGAAAUGGUGGGGGGGAAACAGAGGGUGUAAUGGAGGUGGGGCAAAUGGACGAUGAUGGAGAGAGUGCAGCCAACGGCCAUGAUGAGGGAGAGGAGGAGGAGGGUGAGGUUAUGGACGGCUGUGAUGGGCUUGAGGAUGUGGGGUCCAAUGAGAGGUGAUGAUGAUGGUGAUGUUGAUGUUGAUAUGUGGUAGAGGAUGAAUGUGAGGGAGAGGUAAGUGAGGAUGGAGAGAAUGAGGAAGUGUGGGGAAGAAGCUAGUGUUUGGUUCUGAGUCCAUGUGAAGCUGAGGAUUUGGGGGUGGUUUACAAGACAAUAUUGGAGUGUUGAGGUGAUUGAAUUUGAAGCCAUGGCUAGUUUUUGGGGGAAGAAAGAUUUUGGAAGAGAUGAUGUUGAGAUGAACGGGGGAGUUUAUAAAGUUUUGGGAUAAUGUGGAGGGUAUUUUGGACAUAUUGUUGUCUCAGCUUAAAUUUUGGGAAAAAGAUGAUCAAUAAGAAGCUCUUUUUUUCAUAUCAAUUUAAAACUCCGACGGUGUUUCCAAAAAUUGUUUUUCUUUUUCCGUUUUUUAAUUUUAAAUCAUAAAUUUAGUAAAAGAAGUUGAAUCAAGUGAUCACUUUUUUUUUAAUGUAAAACAAUUAAUUUCUUUUGUGAUUUAAGCAAAUAUUGAGUUGCAUACUUUAAAUAUAUUAAUAUUUGAUUCGAAAUUUCAUCUACCGAAACUACAAAAAUUAAUAUUUUCUAUUAAAUCAAAACCAAAAUUAAAGAUGACUCCUUGUCUGCCAACUGUCAUUAAACAAAGCCAUCACUCACGUGAAAAAAAAAAGUGAUAUAUUCAUUUUAACGUAAUUUCAUACCAACAUAUCAUUCUUUUUUUUCCAAUAAUGACCUCUUUAAUUAUAAAAUAUGGUAAAAGGGGAUGGGUUCGAGGUAUGGCGUCCGGGCCUUUGUGACAACGGUAUCUUUGGACGUGGGUGUCGUUAGAUUUUUGGCUAUUUUCUGGUCAAUCAAACUGGUGGAUCACAUGCAUUUUAAUGACCUCUUUAAUUAUAAAAUAUGGUAAAAGGGGAUGGGUUUAAGGAAUGGCGUCCAGGCCUUUGUGACAAAGUUGGAUGUGGGUGUCAUUAGACUUUUGGCUAUUCUGCUCAAUCAAACUCGUGGAUUACAUGCACUCAACGCGGACAUUAUGGAAAUGGGAGAAAAUUAUGUUAGUAAUAGCAUCUUCAAAAGUUUCUAUACAUUUUACUCUUUAAAUAUUUAUUUACUUAUUUAUAUGAUAAAUAGAAAGGUAAAAAAAUAUAUUAUUCUCCAAAAAACUCUUCAAAUAAAAAUAAGUUAAUAUUAUUUUAAUCAAAUAAUUAUUUUUUAAAGGAAAAGUUAACAGCAAUUAAAGCACUUCUCUUUCUCUCUCUAAUAAAAAGUAAUAAAAUAUUAAUUGAAGUGUUUUUUAGAACCUUAAAUGUUGAUGUGACUCUUCAAAUAAGUAAUAAAAUCUUAAUUGAAGAGCCUUUUGGUGAUGGUUUAAAACCCACUGUUUCGUUCUAAACUAAGUGAAUUUAUCUCGUGAGCUAAGUAGUUUAGGAGAUAACUCAAAUAAUUAACUUUUUAUUAGUUUAAUAAUAAGAAUUUUCGAUUAUAUUUUAAAAGUAUAAUUCAUUACAAAAAAUUACUUAAUAAAAAUAACUGUUAUUUAACAUAUUACAUUUUUUCAAUAAUAAAAUAAUUCAAAUUUUUAAUUAUUAUAACAAAAAAAUUUGUAAUAUAAUCCAUUCAUAUACCACAUCACGUAAAAUGUAACCUAGUACUACAUGUAAUCUUGUUACUACUAUUCCUAUAAUAUUCUACCACAUCAUAUACUAUCAAAUUCCAUCCGGCAUGCCAAAUGUGCAAAGUUUGAGUAAGACUUGUUAAAGUUGAGUAACAUCUUAUAUGGCCAAGCGCAUUGAGUAUGGAUUUGCAUGAUCGAGUGAGUACAACUAAAGUCGGGUAGAGUCUGGAAAAUCCCUAUAAUGUUGAGGUUGGAGAACUAUACUUUUUAAGGUACAUAAUUAAACAAUUUUGGUAAAUAUUUACUAUUAUAACUUAAAAAUUAAUUUGAUUUGAUCUCAUAUAUUAUUAUAAUAAAAAAACUUAUAAUAUCUUUAUUAAUUUUAUUAAAAAUUAUUAUUUAGAAGUCAUAUAUUUAUUACACAUUGUCAAAUUUCAGCUUUUUGUUUUUAACAACAGCUAGUAAUAUCAAACAAGACCUAAGUUGAGUAUGAUCAAUUAAUUAAAAUUAUGAUUUUUUUUUGUAUAAAAUAAUCAUUAGAUAAUUAGUCUGUAAAGAAUAUCGGCUACUUCAAAUGGAAACUUGCGAUAAAAAAUGCAUCACAAAAGUAACAAUGACACACUAUAUAAGAAAUCUGAAAUAGAAUUUGCAAAAUUGAACUGAGUUACGGAGAGUAAAUAAGACUCCAAAGGAACAUGGCAAUUAUUAUUAUCUAGGAAACAAUUCAUAGCUAAAACAAAAUUAACUAUACUUGCCAGGAAAUAUGGCGAAUUCCACCACCUCCUACAAGUUCUUAGGUGUCUUAGAGUUUGAUGACGACUUCCAUGCUGUGUCUCUUCGACAGGCAGCAAAAUUGGGCAAUUGACUACAUUAACUCCAAGAAAUUUAUGCAGUCACCUUCCUCCGGACUAUCCUCUUUCUUUGAGCUUUGGUUGCCCCUAUUUCCCCUUCAAUAGAGUCAUCACUGUUUUGUUUGAAGCCAAGGAGCCCAAGAUCAGAAAAAUGGCAUUCUUUGGUAUCAAUCCCUCGAUCCCCAAGUCACGUCACUAACUUUCUGUUGAUCGCGUAGCUAGUUCAUGUAUGCCACAGCAGCGGAAGGUAGCCUGAAGAAGAAAAAACCUCUCUCUCUUUCUUGCUCAGUAACCACCUGGGCACUUUUGUGCUGAGCCAUGACAUCCUGAGAUGGCCUGUUGUGUAAGCCUUCUUCAAAAGGUCAUCUGUCGAUCUUUCUCCUAAUUAGACAUCCAAAACCCAGCAUGGAAUCCAUUUGAGAAGGUGGACAAUAGACAAACUCCAACGCAUACAGACAGUAAAGAAGAAUUUAGACCGCAAUCACUGUGGCUGAAUAAAUGGGCCUAUUAAGCCUAUUAAAAGUUGGAACCAUAUUCACCACUCGCAGUUCCUUAGAGAACUUUAUCAGAAUUCUGAAAAUUUAAAACUAUUCUUACAUAUUUAACUGUAAAACAAGAGAAAUUGUACUUCCGUAGCAAAGUCUCACUAUUGGUAAGUAUCUGGACUUGGAAAGGAUGCUAGUUGAUUAAGUAAAGGAAAAUUGAAAUCAGACUUUGAGGUGAUAGAUCUAUAUACACUUUAAUCGGAACCACAUUAACAUCAUAUGAGCCAAACAAACAAAUUCCCCAGUCAAAGUUCAACAAACAAAACAUUAAAACAAGAGUAAUUUGGUGUAUCAAUGUAUAUAUAGAGAUGUCGAUCAUUGACAAAUACGUAAAAGAGGGAGGGAGAGACCUCAAAGCCGUGCUUAACAACAUUGCUACUCCAAUAACUUCAAAAUGGUUGGCGACGUCUCUAUCAAAGCCACACAAUAGCUGAUAUCUCAUGUUUGCAUGUAGUCCAAUGAAAGCACCAUAACCAAGAACAUUAGUACUCACAGAUGGGUUUGUCACAGAUAACCUGUCAGGCAAUAAAAAUUGCCCAAAUUAAACAAAUGUUAGACCGGCUUAGACAGUAAACGGAACAAUAUUCUAAUUUUACUUUAUUUAUAACGAAUAAGUGAACAAAGGAAUGAAAAGGAAGUUUGGCAACAGUCUUUUUACCAGCCAGAUAGUUUGACAAAGAAUCUUGCACUGCUCCUGCAGCUAAUCCCACCAUACACAACUCUGCAGUCUUGUUUGGGAGUCAAAAUUCUCAAAAUGGGUAACUCUGUUCAAAUAUACUGUUUGGGAACUUUUGUAAUGUAUUUUGCAAGUCAAACAGGAAGGUAUUUCCAUAAGAAGGUUCACUUCACAUGCUCAACAAUUCAAAUUUGCGGAUGAUAUUUCUCAAAAUGGAGGGCUCUAUUUGGCUUGCCAACAAUCUUCCUCACCAUUAUCAUCCUUGCUAUACCGGUUAAACUGAACAGUCUUCAUUCUGACAUUUGCCCUAUUAACCUGAGUACACAAGAAUCCGAAACAACUGUUAGAAAUUAUAAUCUUUAUAUAUAGCCAAAAUGUUGAAUAAGAUGAUGUACUUGAUAAUAAAUACCUGAGUUAAUAAAUAAUUAAGGGGCCGGUAACAAUGUCAGCAUCUUAUCAAGUGGGGAAAGCCUACGCAACGAAGAUGCUGCCUGCUUUCAAGAAAUAAUAACUUUCCAAUUCCAUAAGGUAGGUUAAUGCCCUUUUAAAAAUAUCUCCACCAGCCUAACAAUUAUUCAUUGAAAUGUGUGAGUGUGAAUUCGAACGAAUUAAUCAAAUAUGAUGACACGAGAAAGAAAAUUAAAAUAACCACAAGAAGUAGAAAUAUACUUUUGUUAUAUUUAGUGCAUCUUCUGUGUGUGCUCAAACGCAAUGCCUCAAGGCGCAAGAUAAUUUUAUGACCAUCAAUCUUUUGCAGCCAUAUGCAGACUUGAAACAUUGGCGGUGGUUCUAAGGAACUUGAAAAUUAGAAAAGUUUCAAAAUGAGUGACUAAAUAUGAUAAUCGAAAUUAAUUAAAUAUACACGCCUUGUAAAUAUGAAACUAAAUUACUCAAAUGUAUGUGCCUCUUCGCAGCAAUUGCUCGUGGUGGAAACUUUACUGCAAAGACUUCCUCAAACCCUUGAAGAUCACACUCUUCCUGGCAACAAAGAAACAGAGUCGAUAUACGAAGAUGAUUUUACUAACAAGUGAGAGCUUGCAAAUAUUGGAAGGAUAACGAUUGCUCAUAACCCAAAUCCCCAAUACCCUCUAAUAUCUCACUCGAGUGAGUUCAAGCCCCCAAAAUUCACUACAGUGAAACUCUCGAAACAAAAUUCUCUUCAAAUAUUCUCAACUCAAAUUUGAUAAUGAUAUCUCUUGAAGGAAGGCAAAAAAUCUAACACUGAUCAAAUUGGCUUGUGAACAAUUAAUGUUCCUGGCCAUCAUUCAUACUAGGUGUGGCGAACAAUUAAGCUGCUUAGUAUCCUGAACCUGAUAACUUACACAAACAAAAACAACUUGCCUAAAGUUUAAUAUUUAGAGGCAGAACGGUAAAGAAGAAGAUAUAUAUUGAUACUAAAAUUUGACUUGCGUUACCCUGAUGUCAAGAAUAGCGGGAUCUCAUGUGGGCAAAAUCUUCGCAAUACGAGAUGCUUGCAAAAUUGAAGCAGCAUCUUAUCACCUGUAAUUUAAUUAAGAUAAUAACUUUCCCCGACUAUUUCAAUGCAUUAUUGGCAACUAAAUUCAGAGGGCGCUAAUUAAAUACCCUUUUAACAAUAUCUUCUUAUUCUUCUCUAAUCUAGCAGUUAUUUGGAAAAUCUAAAUGACAGUCAUGCAUCAAUGGCGUCAAAAUUUGGCUACAAAGCAGCCUACAAAAGGCUUCACCCUCUGAAUGAGAGCAUGAAUUCGAAUAAUAUGAUGAAUGAAGAAACAAAGGCAUAAUACCACAAGAAGUCAAACUUUUCCCCAGAGCUCUGUUUCUGUUUGUGCUAAAGCAAAUGGAAACCAGUGGAAAUGAAUUUCUAUGAACUAGACAUAUCAGCCAAAACAGGUACUCUGUGCAAGCAAAGUAAAAAAGAGUUACAAACAAAUUUAAGAUUGAUAUGAUAAUUAAAAUUUCAGUCACCAUAUAAUUAAUAGAAAACUUUGUACACAAUGAUUUAUUGCAUAUUAAGAUUGUAUACCUAAAUUUUAAUUGCUAUGCAAAAUAUGAUAUUAGCAUUAGGAGACCGCACCAAAACGUACCGUAUUGAAUGUGCCUUUUCACAACCAUUGUACAAGCUUUGAAGCUUUGGCACAAAUGCUUUUUCAAACCCAUGAACAUGAUGCACCCGAGAGAUGCAAGAUAUGAAAUUGUUACAACAGCAGGCAUUGAAACAUUUGUUAAGAAAGGAAGUUUAUGAAAAUACGCCUUAACAUUCAUUAGAUACAUGUCUUCAGGAAUCAAUUCAUCUGUAAUAACAAUUUUCAAAGAGCAUUAACUGCUUUAAGCCCCUCAACAUCACAGAGAUCUUCAAUUAAAAUAGCGCAGAUCCGGCCAUCACUAUUACUUCUACUGCUCUUUCGCUUUAGAGAACGCUUGAAUUACAGAAUGCAUGUAAGGCUUUCUUGUUUAAGGUCCAGCAAACCUUGCACAAUAACAACAGAGGCAGUGGUUCCAUUGCCAGCCUAAUCCUUGGUCUCACCAAUGUUCUGCACGAGUAGGAAAUCAACCUUAAAAUUAAGAAUGAGUUGCAAAAACUGUUUAUGGCCCUAAAGAACUUGAAAAUCGGAAAUGAUUAAGAAUGAGUGAGUAAACAUUUUAAUCGAAUAAACAUACAAAACUUGAAAACCUAACAUUGAAGUACUCUGAAUGAAUGUGCAAUUGCACGAGCUGGUGACAACUGACUUUACUGCAAAGGCUCUUUCAAACCCUUGGAGAUGAUAAAAAUAAAAAUGCAAUGCUUGAGCUUGAGCUUGAGCUUGUUUUAACAUCAUCAUAGUAGGGAAUUUUGAUAUAUCUUUACUUCUCUGUGGUUCAAUCAUUUACUUCUCUGUUCUUGUUUAUUCACAACAAGAUAUCAAUAGAAGAAGAUGGAAAUGAAAUUCUAUAAAAUAAAGCAAGUGAAUUACCAGCAGAACAUUUUAGCAAUCCUUUGGCUAAACUUUUCAUUUUCUUAGCAUACUCUCCUGCCUGCAUCAUUAAAACCAAAUUAGAUUGGACCUGUGAAUUGCUAGUGUGGUUCUGACAUUUCCUCGAAUCCCUGGUGAACAUAAUUAAACGCGUAUGAAAUAAAACAAAGUGGGCUAAUGUACUACUAAAAACAAUUACACAAUUACUUUAAAGAAUUAAUGUCACAUAAAUUAUAUAUAAAAAAAUAAGAUUAUCAUUAUACAAGAUAAAAUUGAUAAUUUAUUUUUCAACAUUACUGCAAAUGUAUUACAGAGAUUUUGUCUCUCAGGAAGUUACACAUAACAAAUUUUCGUACAUUAAAAAAUAAAUUACAUUGGGAUUUUCUAUGAUGUUGUAUGCAAUUUUACAAAAGAGCACAUAUUUUUUAAAAGUAAAUAAAUAUAGAAAUUUAAACAGACUACACUUGUAUUUUUUUAUUAUUUAAUCUUUAGAAAACAAGUUUAACAGAAUUGAUAACUAGGAAGUUUUACAUAUUAUUUCAUUGCAAGCAACAACGAAGUAAAUCAGAGGAGGAGGAGAAAUUACCGGCGAGUGAUAUCUUACGGCUACCACGUGAUGUGGGGAAUGUGAGAUAUCUUCUCCUUUCCCCUCUCUAUGACGGUUUUCCAAAAGGGGACAUCCCCAAAUUGUCAAUUUCUGCAGCGUCGUCGUUCGAAGGAGGUAAUCCGGCAGCACCUUUAAUUUGGGGCAAUCCCCAAUUAGCAGGGAAGAAAGACGUGGUAUGUCUGUUGUCCUGCGAUCUUCUAGAAUGGGCAGUUCUUCCAAAUUUUUACAAGAAUAAAUACUCAGUUCCUGCAGCGUCGUCGUCCGAAGAAGGUAAUCCGGCAGCACCUUUAAUUUGGGGCAAUGCUCAAUUUCCAAGGAAGAAAGACGUGGCAUGAUGGAGAUGUUUUCCUUCCUCGUAAUCCUGUAAUUCCACUCUUCCAAUUCAUCCAAGAACCAAAUUUUGAGAGAUUUCAAUUUGGGGAAGGCAAUAACUGAUGAUGACGAUGAAGAUGAAGAUGAGUCGUCCUCACCGCUUUCUUUUAUUCCCAAAAACUCAUUACCCACUCUUUUUACACUUUUCAAAUUGCAUAGGAUGAGUUUUUCCGGAGGCAAUUUUCCCAAAGGAGGCAAAUGCUCACAGUUAAAACACAAGGAAAGAUAUAAAUUCCUUAGAUUGGUUAGUAAAGUCAACCAUUUGGGAAAAAUGACGCCUCCAUAGGAUUCAAUCCCUAAUUCCUCUACAUUCAAAGGCGGUUGUAAGGCUUCAAGAAGUUGUUUAUCUUUCUCGUUCUUCCUCCUCCCUUCUUCGCCUUCCCCAUCUACGACUCCACCAAACACAAGACGCAAACGAAGGAGGUUUUUCUUAUUGUAAAGUUG
rnacentral:lncRNA from 1 species